AGAGUUUGAUCCUGGCUCAGGACGAACGCUGGCGGCGUGCUUAACACAUGCAAGUCGAACGGUAAGGCCCUUCGGGGUACACGAGUGGCGAACGGGUGAGUAACACGUGGGUAAUCUGCCCUGCACAUCGGGAUAAGCCUGGGAAACUGGGUCUAAUACCGAAUAGGACCACAGGACACAUGUCCUGUGGUGGAAAGCUUUUGCGGUGUGGGAUGGGCCCGCGGCCUAUCAGCUUGUUGGUGGGGUGAUGGCCUACCAAGGCGACGACGGGUAGCCGGCCUGAGAGGGUGUCCGGCCACACUGGGACUGAGAUACGGCCCAGACUCCUACGGGAGGCAGCAGUGGGGAAUAUUGCACAAUGGGCGAAAGCCUGAUGCAGCGACGCCGCGUGGGGGAUGACGGCCUUCGGGUUGUAAACCUCUUUCACCAUCGACGAAGGUCCGGGUUUUCUCGGGCUGACGGUAGGUGGAGAAGAAGCACCGGCCAACUACGUGCCAGCAGCCGCGGUAAUACGUAGGGUGCGAGCGUUGUCCGGAAUUACUGGGCGUAAAGAGCUCGUAGGUGGUUUGUCGCGUUGUUCGUGAAAUCUCACGGCUCAACUGUGGGCGUGCGGGCGAUACGGGCAGACUUGAGUACUGCAGGGGAGACUGGAAUUCCUGGUGUAGCGGUGGAAUGCGCAGAUAUCAGGAGGAACACCGGUGGCGAAGGCGGGUCUCUGGGCAGUAACUGACGCUGAGGAGCGAAAGCGUGGGGAGCGAACAGGAUUAGAUACCCUGGUAGUCC
rnacentral:rRNA from 1 species